rnacentral:rRNA from 1 species
GACGAACGCUGGCGGCGUGCUUAACACAUGCAAGUCGAACGGAAAGGCCCUGCUUUUGUGGGGUGCUCGAGUGGCGAACGGGUGAGUAUCACGUGAGUAACCUGCCCUUGACUUUGGGAUAACUUCAGGAAACUGGGGCUAAUACCGGAUAGGAGCUCCUGCUGCAUGGUGGGGGUUGGAAAGUUUCGGCGGUUGGGGAUGGACUCGCGGCUUAUCAGCUUGUUGGUGGGGUAGUGGCUUACCAAGGCUUUGACGGGUAGCCGGCCUGAGAGGGUGACCGGCCACAUUGGGACUGAGAUACGGCCCAGACUCCUACGGGAGGCAGCAGUGGGGAAUAUUGCACAAUGGGCGGAAGCCUGAUGCAGCAACGCCGCGUGCGGGAUGACGGCCUUCGGGUUGUAAACCGCUUUCGCCUGUGACGAAGCGUGAGUGACGGUAAUGGGUAAAGAAGCACCGGCUAACUACGUGCCAGCAGCCGCGGUGAUACGUAGGGUGCGAGCGUUGUCCGGAUUUAUUGGGCGUAAAGGGCUCGUAGGUGGUUGAUCGCGUCGGAAGUGUAAUCUUGGGGCUUAACCCUGAGCGUGCUUUCGAUACGGGUUGACUUGAGGAAGGUAGGGGAGAAUGGAAUUCCUGGUGGAGCGGUGGAAUGCGCAGAUAUCAGGAGGAACACCAGUGGCGAAGGCGGUUCUCUGGGCCUUUCCUGACGCUGAGGAGCGAAAGCGUGGGGAGCGAACAGGCUUAGAUACCCUGGUAGUCCACGCUGUAAACGGUGGGUACUAGGUGUGGGGUCCAUUCCACGGGUUCCGUGCCGUAGCUAACGCUUUAAGUACCCCGCCUGGGGAGUACGGCCGCAAGGCUAAAACUCAAAGGAAUUGACGGGGCCCCGCACAAGCGGCGGAGCAUGCGGAUUAAUUCGAUGCAACGCGUAGAACCUUACCUGGGUUUGACAUGGAUCGGGAGUGCUCAGAGAUGGGUGUGCCUCUUUUGGGGUCGGUUCACAGGUGGUGCAUGGCUGUCGUCAGCUCGUGUCGUGAGAUGUUGGGUUAAGUCCCGCAACGAGCGCAACCCUUGUUCACUGUUGCCAGCACGUUAUGGUGGGGACUCAGUGGAGACCGCCGGGGUCAACUCGGAGGAAGGUGGGGAUGACGUCAAGUCAUCAUGCCCCUUAUGUCCAGGGCUUCACGCAUGCUACAAUGGCUGGUACAGAGAGUGGCGAGCCUGUGAGGGUGAGCGAAUCUCGGAAAGCCGGUCUCAGUUCGGAUUGGGGUCUGCAACUCGACCUCAUGAAGUCGGAGUCGCUAGUAAUCGCAGAUCAGCAACGCUGCGGUGAAUACGUUCCCGGGGCUUGUACACACCGCCCGUCAAGUCAUGAAAGUUGGUAACACCCGAAGCCGGUGGCCUAACCGUUGUGGGGGAGCCGUCGAAGGUGGGACUGGUGAUUAG